CCCUUAGAUGUUCUGGGCUGCACGCGCGCUACACUGGUGCGUUCAGCGAGUUUAGCACCUUAACAGAUAUGUUUGGGUAAUCUUCUGAAAACGCACCGUGAUGGGGAUCGAUUAUUGUAAUUAUUAAUCGUCAACGAGGAAUUCCUAGUAAGUGUGAAUCAUCAGUUCGCGCUGAUUACGUCCCUGCCCUUUGUACACACCGCCCGUCGCUGCUACCGAUUGAGUGGUCCGGUGAAUUAUUCGGACCGGUGGACUGUGGGGAAACCCGCGGCCUGCUGGGAAGUCUUGUGAACCUUAUCACUUAGAGGAAGCAAAAGUCGUAACA
rnacentral:rRNA from 1 species